CUGCCCGUAACUCAGCCAGGUCAGAGUGUCCGGCCGUUAACCGGAAGGUCGUGAGUUCAAAUCUCACCGGGCACA
rnacentral:tRNA from 1 species